rnacentral:lncRNA from 1 species
AGCAAGCUAGCAAGUACUGACAUUGCCAAAUUGUACUGUAAUGUUGAAGUCAUCAUUAGUCAGAGGAAAACUAACGAGGCAGUCGUUCUUGAAUAAUUGUUCCGAUUUGUGAUUGAGUUGAUAGCGGUUGAAGAACAGAGGCUUCGAAAUAUUCCUAUUGUGUACUUGAGAUGAAAACAGCCAUUUUAUAUUUUUACGUACUGUAUUGUGCAUCUGAAGUGAUAACAGCUAAUGAUUGGUAAGAUGUCAGAGACUGUGGAAGAGGACUGGCUUGUGGACCGGACUGCCAACUUCUUUGCCUCACAAUGCACAAUUAUUACAGAUCCCUACAUAAUUCACCUCCCCUAAGUUGUGACCCUGAAUUGGCGAAAUCUGCUCAAAAAUGGUCUGAUCAACAGGCAGCAGUGGGGCAUAUGCACCAUUCAAAAUGGACGCACGAAUAUACCGAAAGCAUUUCGUGCAAAGGAUGGGGUUGGGAAGGAAUGGACAGAAUAGGAGGAGCCAUACCUGGGGCGGUCAGAUUUUGGUAUUCAGAAAUCAAGAACGGCUACAGAUAUCAAACUGGACAAGGGAAUGGCCGUCCUGUCGGACAUUUCCAGGCGGUAGUAUGGAAAGGGGUGACAAAGUUAGGCUGCGGGCUGAAUAUCAAGCCAGGCGAUGGCACUUACGUAACAGCACACUAUGCCCCAGCCUUUCAUGCAACCAUGCACUAUUCUCAACAUGCACGGGAAAAUGUCACGCCACGAAGACAACCAGAAUCCUCAUGCGAAAUCGAGUCAGACGAACGUGUUAAGUGCUCGGACAGUCUUGUCGCUCCAUUCGUGACACCUAAAAUGUGCCUUGACGCCGGUUGCUGCUAUGACGACAUGUUCAUGAGUGAGCCAAAUGUGAAGUGUUAUAAUCGAAAUGGAAAGACUUGGUGCUUUCAAAGAAAACAGGCCUAAGAAAAUGAACUAGCUGCCGAUACAAACUAGAAUAAUAAUAAAAACAAGUUAAACUUA